GUAACUCUUAAAAUGCAGACCCAAAAUUAGAUACUUUUUCUGAGAAAAGGAACUUAAUAAGGAAAAUUAUUUUUCAGCUCCUAUGAAUUAUCCUAGGAUCACAGAACUUAGAAAUCUACACUCAGGACCCCAGAUACUAAGAAAUUACGAUUGGUAUUUUUUGAAGUAAUAGCAAAAACAUAAAGAAAUGGAACAACAGUUUUUCAUUUGACAGCUACAGCCAUCCACAGAGACCAAAACAAAGCUGUCAGUGGCGACCAGGAGCCACAUCCAAUUUAGAUUCUGAGGCCAAAAUGCAAUAAGGCCAAUAUCUUUUGUCCAUUAAAUUAAAAAUUAUUUCAUUAGCACAGAAUUUGCAAAUAAAUUUUAAAAUCUGAAAGGAACCACACAUUGUUGACUAAAUGCCCCUUUUAGCUAUCAGAACAUUAACUAGGGAAAGUGGUCCCCCCGGCCUUCUGCCUGUCAUGGUGUUUAGGAUAAAUUCAGAGGGCAGAAUACAUUUCUAGACUUUGCUUUUCUGUUACUGACUAGAGGUUAAACUCCAAAAAUUACCUGAGAAGUGGGAAACCAAGGAAAAUACAAGAAAAAUAAGUGGGAAUUACAUUUGGCAUAACAUGAAAAUAUUUUGAAAUGUUUGCUCUAACAUGUUUAAAUGUCAGCCACAGGCCCAUGCUUUCAAAAACUAUAAGAUGUCAAAGUUGCUAUACGGCCAGCAUGGAAGUACUUCAGGGUUUAACAUCUGAGUUAUAAACUCUGUAAGUUAAGCACAGUUGGUUUAAAGAAUCUUUGAGAUUCUGAGCUGGGUAAUUAGUCCUCUUGUAUUCAGACUGGAUACUAUCUAGGAUAACACUGCAACCUUAAUUUCUUAUAUUUAGAUGAGGUAUAGCCAUUUUUCUCUUUUCCUUAUUCCCCAGACCUUUCUAAGGGAGAGCACCUAUCUCUCCCUUACCUACUUACUACUUUUCCUACCUGUCCUGUUACUGGGUGUCACUUCAUUUUUCAACUCUAUUAUCCCAUAAGGAUCUUCCUUUUCCUCCUUUUUUGACCAGGCCUUUCUCCACUUGGUUUAUUUUCAUCUCCUUUUCCAUUUACUCUCUCUCCACUGCUCUGCACUGCAUGGUGGUCUUGCUGUCUACCCGAUCAUCAUGGACUCGGAGCUGUAACAGAGCCUGCAGAGCUAUCAACCGAGGCUCAUCUACCACCAGGACUGCUAAGAUGCCAAAGGCAGUUUCGGAGAAUGUGUUGAGUGGGCAAUGAAGGUGAUCAUGAAUAUAGAGAUGCAUUGUUUUUGUCCUGCCGCCUACUUUUCUUCCAGCCCAGCACCUGCCUCCUUCUGGCCCCAGUUCUUUUGAGAGUCUUUAUGUUACCAAAAACUCAGCACUUGUCCAUGAGGCUGAAUCAGAAGAACGAGGACAAGUGGUUUGAGGAGGAAGGAAAGAGACAUUUUAUUAUUUUGCCGGCAAAGGAGGAAAACCGGUAGACCUUCUUCUCUCAAAAUCCAAAUUUUCCUGAACAUUCACAGAAAUACAGAGCUUUGAAAGCAUGGAUUCUCAGCUUCAGACAAUUACUGUUUAACUGUGGUUGAUGAUUUCUGAUCGUCCCAUCUCUGCUGAAGACAAUCUCCUGACCUCCCUUUCCCAGGUCUGUUGUACAAAUAACAAAAGACUCACCCUGCCCCUUCCAACCACUGCUGAGGCAGGGAUGCAGGCUUUAGUUCUCAAAAAGGAGUGGAGGAUGUUUUAAAGAGACAGAAAAUACUUUUGCCGUUUUUUUCCAGGCCUUUCCCUCUGUUACGUUUUCCAAGCUUUUGUGAACUGUGAUACCAUGAGAGAAACUCCCACCAUGUAGCAUUUCCCAAACUUCCUUGACUACAGAGCCCGUGUGGAAAGAGCAUUUUGUGAGACCGACGCCCUGCAGCUUCCACACCUCUGAGCCGGGCGACACGCCAGCCAGGCCGAAUGAACCCUACACCUUUUUAGCUGCCUGCAUUUCGCAAGUAACCCAAACUACCUACCUCAGUGUUUUAAUCUAUAAAAUGGAAGCAAUAAAUAUCACAUCAUAGAAGUUGCUAAGUUUUAUGAGAAUUAAAAGGAAUAAUUGCCAUAAAAAGCCUGAUACUGCCAACAAUGUACUUGACAAGUGUGAAUUUCUCUUUUCCCUUUAUUCUACGGUGUGGCAGCUUGGAUGUGUGCACCCACUAGCUGCCCUCUUUUUCUGCUACCCAGCAGACAGCUGCUUGGGGUUUUACUUGUGUUUUGUUUUGUUU